rnacentral:rRNA from 1 species
UACAGAGGGUGCGAGCGUUAAUCGGAAUUACUGGGCGUAAAGCGUGCGUAGACGGUUAUUUAAGUCGGGUGUGAAAGCCCCGGGCUCAACCUGGGAAUUGCAUUCGAGACUGAAUAGCUAGGGUACGGUAGAGGGAAGUGGAAUUUCCGGUGUAGCGGUGAAAUGCGUAGAUAUUAGGAAGAACACCAGUGGCGAAGGCGGCUCACUGGUCCGGUACUGACGCUGAGGUGCGAAAGCGUGGGGAGCAAACAGG